rnacentral:lncRNA from 1 species
GCUUUACAUUCUUUAUUCAAAUUAGGACUUUGAGGUCAGCAUUCUUUUAGGUGUAACACGCACAGAAAAAUCAUACAGCAGAGCAGCAAACAGAAACCCCCCACCCAAAUCUUCAGCAUUGAAGACAUUCUCAACCCCCCAAAUAUAACUGUCCUUUUAAAAAUCGAGGAGAAGCAUGAGGACCAGGUCUGGACUGCAGACGUUCUCAGUUUAAAUAAACAGUCUCGAAGUCACAUUGACAGCAAUCUGUUAGUCCGUCCCAAACAUUCCGCCAGGCACAUUGCUCGAGCGAAUCCUCAGACGGAGGUUGAUGAGGUUGUUUUCUCUCACAUUAUUAGAAGGACCUAUACACAAUCCCAUACAAUCAUGUAAAAUAUCCUGUCUGGAAGAGCAGCCCACUCAUGCAGCUGCUGCACGUCUGAUAAAGGACCCCUCGGCCCCCUGGUUCCAGCUCAGGAAGGCAGACCCUGUGCCAGCCACAGUCACAGUUUGACCCCGAGACCUGCCCCCAUCCCAGACAGGCCUGGCAGCCUCCGCAACGUCCUCUGCCAGGUCAGAGCCAUCAGAGCGGCCUCCCUGAGCUCAGGUGCUUCCAGACAGACCCCAGGUGAGCUAGGCUGCAUUUUCUUUAUUUUUUUUUUUUAUUUUAUUUUUUUUGCUAUUUCUUGGCCCGCUCCCGCGGCAUAUGGAAGCAAAAAGACAAAAAAAAAAAAAAGUGUAAAUGAAUGUGCCUAGCUGGGUUCCUAAAAUACUUGAUCUAUAGACACUGAAACUUGAAUUUCAUACUAUUCUCAUGUGUCACUAGAACAGGAGUCUUCGUUUGAAUUUUUCCAACUGUUUAACAAUGUAAAAAACAAGCUUAGCUCCCAAGCCCUACGAUAAUAGGCUCUGGCCCGUAGGCUGUAUGUAGAAGCCUCCCUGAGAUACCUAUAGAGCAGCAGUGAAACAGCUCCUCCUUAAAGCUGAGCAUCACGCAACAGACUGACUGUACUAGCCACGUGCUGGAACCUAUGAAAACAAAAGAAAGAUGAAUUACCAACAGGUGACCAAGGUGUAAAGAAGUCAGAUCCUUCCAGAGGCUCAUUGGCCCCUGCCACCCAUGGCCCCAGCCAUCCAUAGCCCCCUUAUCUUGGCAUCCGCAGACAUCGGCAAUGAAUAAAGAAGGCCAACCAGACUGGUUCCCACAGUCCUAGCCUGUGCUGGGUGCCCAUGGGAUUCAGAGCGGGAUUUUCUUGCUGGGCAUGCUUCAUCAGUCAAGGCCCCACUCCCACCGGUGGCUCCAAGAGGGACAGAAAACCACCUCUCCAUCCCCUCAUCUCGCGGCUUGGAGUCUAGCCAUCCGGAGUCCAGCUUCUCCGACUGCUAAUGGCCCAGAGUCUAGGAGCUACGAUGUGUUUUGCCCACACGAGGGGGCUGGGGGCCAGGACCCGCUGGAGCGGCUCACAGCCAAAGCUUGCUGAUUACUCUGGCAUUUCAAUUCACCAAGCAUCUUAUUUUGCCGGGGAAAGAACGACUUCUACAAAACAGUGUAAAGAACAUUCCAGUCCAUUAUGGGAAGUCUGGCCCUUUCCACAUCAGAGAGGAGGGAUGGAAGAAAGGAAAUUUGAAAAUACUGUUAUUUGACUGUUUUAAAGUUCAGUAGCAGCAUCCACUGAGGAAGACCACCUGCCUGCCAGGGCCUCCCCAACUGCCCGAAGCUGAAAUAUAAAGUAAGAGACGUGCACGUGGCAUUUACUUUGCAAAGGACAUUUGUACGCAAGCCCAUGAGUCUGGGCGAACAUUUCCCAGAUCCUGGUUAAAAGAAAAGAACAGUCUGCUAAGGCCCCACCUGGAUUUCUCGAGAAACAGGGCCCGCAGUCCACGCCUUCCCGGGGCGCGAUGCGGCGGCAGGGUCUGACCUCUCCCUGAGACCCCAGGGGUCUCCCACAAGGUACAGGGGCUGAAACACACAGUCCACGGUUAAAAACAAAUCCUAAGGGUUUGCAGCCUCGCGCAGAAAUCCGGAGCCUUCGCGAAGGCAGCCACUGGACACCCGGCGGUUGUCUUCCUUUUCCGAUGCGGGAGGGAACUCCAGGGGCCUGAGCGACGGGAAAGUGGCCGAGGCUCCGUGCUUGCUGCCGGGAUCUGUCUGGGUGCGAGCUUGCGGUGAGCGGCUCCCUCUAUCCCGGGGCUCAGAGCGUCGCAGCCGCAGCCGCCUGGUGCUGUCCCUGCAAGCGCCGCGGGGCCGAGCGCUGCGGGCUCAGAGCGCAUCAGCGGGGCGUACGUAGCGCAGCGUGUAGUUGGCCCCCGCAUUGUUGUCCCAGUACUCGCCCUGGGCGCAGCGGUAGCACACGGCGAAGUGGACGGCGACGCCCGGCGCGUCCGCGUCCUCCCCCUCCUUGGGCAGCAGGCCCGGGGGCAGGCACAGCGCGAAGUGGAAGCGUUCGGCGCCGGGCUCGUCCUCGGCGUCCCCGGGCCCCCCCGACGUCGCCAACGGCGGAGGCUCCCCCGGCUCCGGCCUC